CAGGCCUAACACAUGCAAGUCGAACGAUGGUCUUCGGAUCAUAGUGGCGCACGGGUGCGUAACGCGUGGGAAUCUGCCCUGGGGUCUGGGAUAACCGUUGGAAACGACGGCUAAUACCGGAUGAUGAUGAAAAUCCAAAGAUUUAUCGCCCUGGGAUGAGCCCGCGUUGGAUUAGGUAGUUGGUGGGGUAAAGGCCUACCAAGCCGACGAUCCUUAGCUGGUCUGAGAGGAUGAUCAGCCACACUGGGACUGAGACACGGCCCAGACUCCUACGGGAGGCAGCAGUGGGGAAUAUUGGACAAUGGGCGAAAGCCUGAUCCAGCAAUGCCGCGUGAGUGAUGAAGGCCUUAAGGGUUGUAAAGCUCUUUUACCCAGGGAUGAUAAUGACAGUACCUGGAGAAUAAGCUCCGGCUAACUCCGUGCCAGCAGCCGCGGUAAU
rnacentral:rRNA from 1 species